AGUGAACGCUGGCGGUAGGCAUAACACCUGCAAGUCGAACGAGAGGCGGACGGGGGAGGCAUACAGCGGAAUCUACUCUGUCGUUGGGGCUACCGUCGGGCACAUUACGCUAAUACCGCAUACUCUUACAUGAGCCGAUGGAGGAUUAGCUAGUUGGCGGGGUAAAGGCCCACCAAGGCGACGAUCCGUAGCUGGUCAGAGAGGAUGAUGAGCCAAAAGGGAACGGAGACACGGUCCAGACUCCUACGGUAGGCAGCAGGGGGGAAUAUUGGACAAUGGGCGCAAGCCUGAUCCAGCCAUACCGCGUGGGUGAAGAAGGCCGUAGGGUUGUAAAGCCCUUUUGUUGGGAAAGCGGUACCCAAAGAAUAAGCACCGGCUAACUUCGUGCCAGCCGCCGCGGUAAUAC
rnacentral:rRNA from 1 species